GCCUCCAUGGUCAAGUGGCCUAAGACGUCGCCCUCUCACGGCGAAAACUGGGGUUCGAAUCCCCAUGGAGGUG
rnacentral:tRNA from 1 species